GUUUUGACCACAAUGAUCCUCUUGAGAAGAAGGACAGUAUCCAUAGGAAGGAAAGCAUCAAGCCCCAGUGGCAGGAAAGAAAAGCACAAAAUCCAAGUGUUCUGGAAGAAGAUGAGAGGUGGCCACCCUUAGGCCAAGCCAGCCAGACCUGUCUCUCCUGCCACCUUUCAUCUCAGGGCUAUCCUUGGACACAGGGAAUUUUGGAGGUGGAAUCUCAAUUUUGGCCAUGGGCACCUGGACAGGAAGAGGAAAGCACAGAGCCCCAGUGUUCCAGAGGCACACGAGUGCUAGCCCUCAGGAAGCCAAGGCCAGCCAGACUUGUCAGUCCUGGCAGCUUCUGUCUGGGAGCUAUCCUUGGAUAUAGGGAAUUCUGGAGGUAGAUGCCCAAUUUUGGCCAUGGGUGCCUGGUUGAGAUGGAUGUUUUUUCCCAUAAGAUAUAAAAGCACAUGGCCCCAGUAUUUGAAAGGCAGAUGAGUUGUGGCCCCUGGGUGGCCAAGGCAGCCAGACCUGUCUCUCCUGGCAGAUUUAAUCUGGAAACAAACCUUGAAAUAUAGGGAAAUUUGGAGAAAUAAUCUCGGUUUUGGCCCUGGGUCGCUAGAGGAGAAGGACAGUUCUCUCCCAUAGAAGGAAAGCCCAGAGCCCCAGGGCUUCAGGGGCAGAUGAGAAGCAGCCCUCGACAUGCCAAGGUCAGCCAGACCUGUCAGGUGGUCCCCAGGAGCCCCAGCCAGCCAGACCUGUUCCAUGUUCCCUUGGUUUUGUGGGACCCCACAGUGUCACAAUGGUCUCCUUGGUUCCAUGAGGCCCUGGAGUGUCACAAUGUCCCCCUUGCUUCUGCAGUGUCACAAUGGGCCCGUGCUUCCAUGAGGCCUUGCAAUGUCACAAUGGCUUUGUGGUUCCACAAAGCCCUGAUGUGUCACAAUGGCCCCUCGGCUCCGUGCGCCCUCGCUGUGUCACAACGGCUCCUCUGUGACACUGCGGGCUCCACAAGGUCACCACGAACCCUUGGUUCCUUGGGGCCCCCGAGUUCCACAAUGGUCUCCUUGAUUCCAUGAGGCAGCACAGUGUCACAAUGGCCCCUUGGUUCCAUGAGGUUCCGUAGUGUCACCGUGGUGUCCUUGGAUCCACAUUGUCACAACUGACCGGGGGUAAUCACAUAUCCUCUGAACAUCGAGAGAGCUCUCCCAGGAUUUUCCUGGGAAGCUGUGAGAAGCUGUGAGAAAGCUCAGAGAGACGAAUGAGAAACCAUUCUUAUCUUCAUUUACUGCACCUGUUGUUGUGCACAUGUGGAAUGUGUUAUGGAGAUUUGUUUACCAAAGGGUGAUUUCUUAACUGGCCAAUGGUGACUGUGUUUGGAUUUCAAUCAACCAAUCUGGUCUGUCUGUAUCUGACUGUCUGCAAGAGCAAUGAGUGUUUCUUAGUAGUAUAGUAUAGUAUAAUAUAAUAAAGCGAUUGAUCAGCCUU